rnacentral:rRNA from 2 species
AGUGCAGAAGAGGACAGUGGAACUCCAUGUGUAGCGGUGAAAUGCGUAGAUAUAUGGAAGAACACCAGUGGCGAAGGCGGCUGUCUGGUCUGUAACUGACGCUGAGGCUCGAAAGUAUGGGUAGCAAACAGGAUUAGAUACCCUGGUAGUCCAUACCGUAAACGAUGAAUGCUAAGUGUUGGAGGGUUUCCGCCCUUCAGUGCUGCAGCUAACGCAUUAAGCAUUCCGCCUGGGGAGUACGGCCGCAAGGNUGAAACUCAAAGGAAUUGACGGGGGCCCGCACAAGCGGUGGAGCAUGUGGUUUAAUUCGAAGCUACGCGAAGAACCUUACCAGGUCUUGACAUNCUAUGCANAUUUAAGAGAUUNGACGUUCCCUUCGGGGACAUNGAUACAGGUGGUGCAUGGUUGUCGUCAGCUCGUGUCGUGAGAUGUUGGGUUAAGUCCCGCAACGAGCGCAACCCUUAUUAUCAGUUGCCAGCAUUAAGUUGGGCACUCUGGNGAGACUGCCGGUGACAAACCGGAGGAAGGUGGGGAUGACGUCAAAUCAUCAUGCCCCUUAUGACCUGGGCUACACACGUGCUACAAUGGAUGGUACAACGAGUUGCGAACUCGCGAGAGUAAGCUAAUCUCUUAAAGCCAUUCUCAGUUCGGAUUGUAGGCUGCAACUCG